rnacentral:rRNA from 1 species
UACAGAGGGUGCGAGCGUUAAUCGGAAUUACUGGGCGUAAAGCGCGCGUAGGCGGCUUUGCAAGUCGAGUGUGAAAUCCCCAGGCUUAACCUGGGAACUGCAUUCGAGACUGCAUGGCUAGAGUAUGGGAGAGGGAAGUGGAAUUUCAGGUGUAGCGGUGAAAUGCGUAGAUAUCUGAAGGAACAUCAGUGGCGAAAGCGACUUCCUGGACCAAUACUGACGCACAUGUGCGAAAGCGUGGGGAGCAAACAGG